UACGAAGGGGGCUAGCGUUGCUCGGAAUUACUGGGCGUAAAGGGCGCGUAGGCGGAUAGUUAAGUCAGAGGUGAAAGCCCAGGGCUCAACCUUGGAAUUGCCUUUGAUACUGGCUAUCUUGAGUAUAGGAGAGGUUAGCGGAACUCCGAGUGUAGAGGUGAAAUUCGUAGAUAUUCGGAAGAACACCAGUGGCGAAGGCGGCUAACUGGCCCAUUACUGACGCUGAGGCUCGAAAGCGUGGGGAGCAAACAGG
rnacentral:rRNA from 1 species